rnacentral:rRNA from 1 species
UACGGAAGGCAGCAGUGGGGAAUAUUGCACAAUGGGCGCAAGCCUGAUGCAGCCAUGCCGCGUGUAUGAAAAAGGCCUUCGGGUUGUAAAGUACUUUCAGUCGUGAGGAAGGUGUUAAGGUUAAUAACCUUAGCAAUUGACGUUAGCGACAGAAGAAGCACCGGCUAACUCCGUGCCAGCAGCCGCGGUAAUACGGAGGGUGCGAGCGUUAAUCGGAAUUACUGGGCGUAAAGGGCACGCAGGCGGUUAAUUAAGUUGGAUGUGAAAUCCCCGGGCUUAACCUGGGAAUGGCAUUCAAGACUGGUUAGCUAGAGUCUUGUAGAGGGGGUAGAAUUCCAUGUGUAGCGGUGAAAUGCGUAGAGAUGUGGAGGAAUACCGGUGGCGAAGGCGGCCCCUGGACAAAGACUGACGCUCAUGUGCGAAAGCGUGGGGAGCAAACAGGGAUUAGAUACCCUCGGUAGGACUCGGUCACGGACGGCACAACGGGAAGGUA